rnacentral:rRNA from 1 species
CAAUAGCGUAUAUUUAAGUUGUUGCAGUUAAAAAGCUCGUAGUUGGAUUUCGGAUGGGAUUUGCCGGUCCGUCGUUACGAUGUGCACUGGCCAGUCCUAUCUUGUUGUCGGGGACUAGCUCCUUGGAUUCACUUCCUGGGACUAGGAGCUGACGAGGUUACUUUGAGUAAAUUAGAGUGUUCAAAGCAAGCCUACGCUCUGAAUACAUUAGCAUGGAAUAACACGAUAGGACUCUGGCUUAUCUUGUUGGUCUGUGAGACCAGAGUAAUGAUUAAGAGGGACAGUCGGGGACAUUCGUAUUUCAUUGUCAGAGGUGAAAUUCUUGGAUUUAUGAAAGACGAACUUCUGCGAGAGCAUUUGUCAAGGAUGUUUUCAUUAA